UCCCUCCCAUCCCGGCCCCGGCGGCGCUCCUCUCCCCCGCCGCCGCCUCGCUCAGCUCCUAAACCCCUCUUAAACCGCCCGGCCGCCGCCGCCGCCGCCAUGACGGUUCCCCCCCAAGGCGACGAUGCGGCCAAAAAGGACAAGGAUGUGCCUCCACCGUCCUACCGCUCGCUGGCCGCGCCGGUCGCCAACCCCGUCGACAAGUUCGCGCUCCUCCCCGCAUUCCUCAAGGUCCGAGGGCUCGUCAAGGAGCACAUCGACUCCUUCAACUACUUCAUCACCAGGGGAAUCAGGAACAUCAUCCAGGCAAACAAUCGGAUUGAGGCCCGCAAUGACCCAAACAUCUACCUUAGGUACACAAACGUCCAUGUUGGCACGCCCUCAGUUCAAGUUGAUUACAAAGUCGAAGAAAUCACGCCGCACUUUUGCCGCCUUACUGACCGCACUUAUUCUGCUCCUAUAAAAGUUGAUAUCGAAUAUACCGUCGGGAAGCAGCAUGAGCUGCAGUUUAAGAGGAACGUUCUCAUUGGCUACAUGCCCAUUAUGCUUAGAAGUUAUGCAUGUAUUCUGCAUGGAAAGGAUGAAGCUGAACUAGCAAGACUCGGUGAAUGCCCUCUUGAUCCUGGUGGCUACUUCAUAGUCAAAGGAACUGAGAAGGUCAUUCUAAUACAAGAACAGCUAUCGAAGAAUCGUAUUAUUAUAGAUACCGAUAGUAAAGGAAGGGUGAUUGCAUCUGUUACCAGCAGCACACAUGAAAUUAAAAGCAAGACGGUGAUUACUUUGGAUAAGGAGAAGAUCUAUCUACAGCUGAAUCAAUUCACGAAACCGAUUCCAAUAAUAGUGGUCAUGAAAGCUAUGGGAAUGGAAAGUGAUCAAGAGGUUGUACAGAUGGUUGGAAGAGAUCCAAGAUAUGGAGACCUCCUAUUCCCAUCUAUUCAGGAAUGUGCCUCAGAGAGAAUAUAUACACAACAGCAAGCCCUGCAGUACAUGGAUGAGAAGGUCACAUAUCCUGGUGCAGGAAACCAGAAGGAGGGUCGAUCGAAAUCAAUCCUACGUGAUGUGUUUAUUGCACAUGUGCCGGUCAAGAACGGGAACUUCCGACAAAAAUGUAUAUACACUGGCGUAAUGUUAAGGCGCAUGAUGGACGCAAUCUUGAAUGCUAACACCUUUGAUGAUAAGGAUUAUGUAGGGAAUAAGAGGCUGGAGCUGUCUGGUCAACUAAUAUCCCUGCUUUUUGAGGAUUUGUUCAAAACAAUGAAUUCCCAAGCUGUAGAGCUCAUGAACAAAAAUAGCGACAAGACUCGUUCUAGUCCUUCAGAUUUCAGCCAGUUGAUAAAGCAUGAAUCCAUAACCUCUGGUUUGGAGAGGGCUAUUUCUACAGGAAAUUGGGAUAUUAAACGGUUUAGGAUGCAUAGGAAAGGUGUGUCACAGGUUCUUUCUAGGCUAUCGUACAUGGCAUCAUUAGGCUACAUGACACGGAUAACACCACAGUUUGAGAAGACACGGAAAACAAGUGGGCCACGUGCUUUGCAACCUAGUCAGUGGGGUAUGCUUUGCCCAUGUGAUACUCCUGAAGGAGAAGCUUGUGGAUUGACGAAAAAUUUGGCUCUAUUGACUCACGUUACAACAGAUCAAGAGGAAGGCCCGCUGAUGAAUCUGUGUAAAAGUCUUGGUGUGGAAGAUUUAUCGCUUCUGUCUGGAGAAGAAAUACAUGCACCAGGUUCUUUUUUGGUGAUGUUCAAUGGAUUAAUACUGGGGAAACACAGGCAGCCUCAGACAUUUGCUAACGCUAUGAGAAACUUGCGUCGAUCAGGCAAAAUUGGAGAGUUUGUAAGCAUUUUUGUAAAUGAGAAACAGCAUUGCAUUCACAUUGCCUCUGAUGGUGGUCGUGUAUGUCGCCCACUUAUAAUUGCUGAUAAGGGAAUAUCAAGGGUCAAAGAGCAUCAUAUGAAAGAACUGAGGGAUGGUGUUCGUUCUUUCGAUGAUUUUCUGCGUGAUGGAUUGAUCGAAUAUCUUGACGUCAAUGAAGAGAACAAUGCAUUGAUUGCAUUGUAUGAGCAUGUGGAUCAAGAUGAUGUUGAAAGAAGCAGCAUCACACACAUUGAAAUAGAGCCAUUGUCUAUCUUAGGAGUUGUAUCCGGACUUAUUCCUUAUCCACACCAUAACCAAUCUCCACGUAAUACUUAUCAGUGUGCUAUGGGUAAGCAAGCGAUGGGAAAUAUUGCAUAUAAUCAGUUGUUCAGAGCAGAUUCACUACUCUACUUACUAGUGUAUGCACAACGCCCACUGCUAACAACCAAAACAAUUGAAUUGGUGGGAUACGACAAGCUUGGUGCUGGGCAGAAUGCCACUGUUGCUGUCAUGGGUUAUAGUGGAUAUGAUAUUGAAGAUGCAAUUGUAAUGAAUAAAUCAUCCCUUGAUCGAGGUUUCGGUCGUUGCAUAGCAAUGAAAAAGUACACAGUUAUAAAGGAGUACUAUGGAGAAGGUGUGUCUGAUAGGAUCGCUAAACCACAAAGAGAUAAAGAUGGUGCUUUGGUAAAGCAAAAUAUGCGGGCACUGGAUGAAGAUGGCAUUGCUGCACCUGGUCAAAUAAUUCGCAAUCAUGAUGUCUAUGUGAACAAGCAAUCUCCCAAAGUUAUAGAUAGAAGAGGUGCUGGUGCACCGUUAAUGGACAGGGACUACAAGGACUCACCGGCCAUUUACAAAGGUGUUGAUGGUGAGACUACUGUUGUAGAUCGUGUAAUGCUUUGUUCAGAUACAAAUGAGAAGCUAUCUAUUAAAUGCAUUAUCCGCCAUACAAGGAGGCCAGAGGUUGGUGAUAAAUUUAGUAGCAGACAUGGGCAGAAAGGUGUUUGUGGCACCAUUGUUCAGCAGGAGGACUUCCCCUUCUCUGAGAGGGGAAUAUGCCCUGAUUUAAUUAUGAAUCCACAUGGAUUCCCUAGUCGUAUGACUAUAGGUAAAAUGAUUGAACUUAUUGGUGGAAAGGCUGGUGUAUCUUGUGGUCGAUUCCAUUAUGGCAGUGCAUUUGGUGAACCAAGUGGUAAUGCUGAUAAAGUGGAAGACAUAAGCAAUACUCUAAUCAAGCAUGGCUUCAGCUAUAAUGGAAAAGAUUUCUUGUACUCAGAGCUGAUUUUUGGCCCCCAUUUUAGGCAUUCUAGGUCAUCCUCUGGAGGCAUACAUCUUCAUGGGACCAAUCUACUAUCAGAAACUGAAGCACAUGGUUCUUGAUAAGAUGCAUGCUCGAGCUAGUGGACCACGAGUGUUGUUAACCAGGCAGCCUACUGAAGGGCGAAGUCGCGAUGGAGGUCUGCGUCUUGGUGAAAUGGAACGUGACUGUUUGAUUGCAUAUGGUGCAAGCAUGCUGAUCUUUGAACGUCUACUUCUAUCCAGUGAUCCAUAUCAAGUCCAGGUUUGCAGAAAAUGUGGCUUGCUGGGGUACUACAACUAUAAACUUAAGACUUCGUACUGUUCAAUGUGCAAGAACGGGGAAAAUAUGGCCAAGAUGAGGCUGCCAUAUGCCUGCAAGCUUUUAUUCCAGGAAUUGCAAUCAAUGAAUGUUGUUCCACGAUUGAAGCUAACCGAAGGAUAGCUUGAGAUUGUGAAUCGAUGAUGGUUUAUGGAGCUGGUUGCCAAGCUGGAUAGUUAAAGGCUUGGUUGAUGUCCAUUUCUUGGCGGAGUGGAUUGCUGCGGUGUACAAGGAAGGUUUCGCAGCAACAAGGAAGGCUGCACAAUGCAUCCUUGUGCUCUUAUUAUCAAGAGCAUGCAAGGCCCUGGGACUGCUUGUCUGGUUUAUUAACUAUCCAUAUAUAUAAAGUGAGAUGACCGCCUGUUGGAACAAGCGCAUGUAUAUCAUGUCAUGUACUAGUAGUAUCUUAGUUCCAUAUUAAUAAUUGCAAGUAUGCUGAUACUGGAUCUGAAACACAUCAUAGUAGGGAGAUGAUGGCUAGGGA